AGGGAUGCAAAACCUAGAGCCCCAGGUCCUUUAAAUAGUGUCAGACGCAUCCCAAAGUGUGGCCCAGUCCAAAAGAAUCAAAACAGAGCAUAAACAGGGCCCGAUCCAGGUGAAUUCUCACUCAAGCGUCGUAGGGAGCUCGCCCAGGCGAGAAUUGGCCAUCAUGUAUGGCCUGGGCGCCAGAUUUGGACACCCAAGCUACGAGCGUCUGUCGCCCGGGCGACCAACGUCGAUACUGCUCGCGCAAUUUUCGUUCCUAGAUGCUCGGGCUUCACAUUUUCCCUCCUUUUGGUGCCUUUCUGAACUCUUCUUGGAUUUUUACUUCUUCUUCCAGUAUUACUUCAAUCUCUG
rnacentral:lncRNA from 1 species